GACGAACGCUGGCGGCGUGCUUAACACAUGCAAGUCGAACGGAAAGGCCCUGCUUUUGUGGGGUGCUCGAGUGGCGAACGGGUGAGUAACACGUGAGUAACCUGCCCUUGACUUUGGGAUAACUUCAGGAAACUGGGGCUAAUACCGGAUAGGAGCUCCUGCUGCAUGUUGGGGGUUGGAAAGUUUCGGCGGUUGGGGAUGGACUCGCGGCUUAUCAGCUUGUUGGUGUGGUAGUGGCUUACCAAGGCUUUGACGGGUAGCCGGCCUGAGAGGGUGACCGGCCACAUUGGGACUGAGAUACGGACCAGACUCCUACGGGAGGCAGCAGUGGGGAAUAUUGCACAAUGGGCGGAAGCCUGAUGCAGCAACGCCGGGUGCGGGAUGACGGCCUUCGGGUUGUAAACCGCUUUCGACUGUGACGAAGCGGGAGUGACGGUAAUGGGUAAAGAAGCACCGGCUAACUACGUG
rnacentral:rRNA from 1 species